rnacentral:lncRNA from 1 species
AGUAAUGUGAUACACGUCUCACUAGCGAGAUACUUUGGGGUCGUGACACACUUAAUAAAGUAUACACGUCUAUCAUCGUCAUAUGGCCAGGCUGCCGACGAACAGACACCGUUUCUCGUUUCUCUCCUCCUCCUGUUUUCCAACCUUUCUCCGCUAACUCUAUAAGUUACAAAAUUUUCUGACGCUUUCGAUCACUGUCUCAACUUCAUUCUUUCUUCUCUUGGUAACUUGCCGGUAAUUUUCUUUUCGUGUUAUUUUCUUUCGAGUCUAUUUUUAUGUGAUUUUUUCAUCUGGGUGUGAAUUUUUCUUUCGGUGGACAGUUGAGUUUCUGAUCAAUUAUUAGCUUUGUAUGUUGAUUUAAAGCUGAAAAUUAUUUUCAUACAACACUUAUGUUAUUUGAUUUUGAAAUCGAAUGUAUAAAAUUUCUUUCCUCAUUGCUUUGGAAUUGAAUAUCGAGGCAUUAGUCGAAACCCCAAAUCUGCUUUCUGUUAUUGCUUCCCUUGCUCGCAGGCAGCUUCAUCAAUUGAUAUUUCUGGUGAAGCUGCUCCCUCGACUGAAUGUCGCACUCUGGCUUUGCAACUUAGUCUAUGCUCUUCGCAUUUAAUGAAAAUUUUCACUCUUUUAUGUGGUUUUUUUGUACAUUUUUCUUUAUAUAUAGCAGGGAUUUGCAUAUUAACGCGGUCGACCCCUAUGCCAUAAUUUCUCAAAACGAGGAGGCCAUAGAUAAAUUUGACAUUAGUGAUUCCGCUGGCAAACCUCGAGGGUCGAAUGUAGGUGACAAUGCUUGGGAAAAGGGAACAUAAGGAAAUCAAAGAAUUCAAUGGAGCUCAUUGUCUCAUAUUUUGGGGGAUAAAGAAAGAUGAAGUGGUUUAAUGCCAUGGGCAGCUGCAAAGAGACUUUCCACUUCAAAAGCUGCUAAAGCUUUUGAUCACUAAAAUUCUGCAAAAAUCUCGACUAAAUAUAGAAAAGAUCGGAUUCCAAUUUUUAUCAAAAAGAAACUGAAGAUCUAAUGCUUCAACUACAUAGUUCAACUCAUUAAAGAAAUGGAGCAAGAUAAAAGCACUGCAAGUGUUCCAUCCAUUUAGAAACGUCAGAGAAAGUAGUUUGUAAUUAUUCUGAACAGAAAGCUGUUGUUGCUUAUUAAAGAUACUACCACCUGGGAACUUUCAUUGGUGACAUACGAUCACAUGUUACCCUAGGAGUAUCAAUUAUUUGCUUUUUCAUUAUUGUAUCUUCUAUCAUCUGGCUAAAGAAUAAGACAAUUCCAUAAAGAUGGCGUUAAACCUUUGAACAAUUUAAUGAAGUUCUG